rnacentral:lncRNA from 1 species
GUGACAAAGUCGAUGAAUUUUCAACUUUAAUGGACCACCCUACCUGCAGGCUAAAUUAUACAUUUUUGAAUAGAGAAAUGAUUAAAGUUUAAUAUUUGCCUGGUCGUAGAAUCGAAAUAUGGUGCAUUUUUUUUUAAUUUGGGGUUAAAGUGCAGUGGUCGAUUUUUUCACCGAAGUACAUUUAAUUCACACGGGGUUAUAAACAAUCAAACAAAUAAUAUCACAUUUGCUUUAAUAAACAAAAUUUAAUUCUUAAAUGAAGCAAUAAACUGUAACAAUUCACUAUCCAAAAAAAAAUAAUAAAAAAAAUUAAAAAAAAUGGCGAUUUUAAAGAAAAUUCAGAUCAGCAACAAUAUUUACA